rnacentral:lncRNA from 1 species
CUUCGCGGCCCCGAGCGUCCGGCCUCCGCGCCCGUGCCGCCCGGCGCCCCGGCCUUGACCCCGGGCCCGCGCCCUACCCGUUGACGCCGGCCGCUCUGCGCCCAGGCACCAGCCCGCACCCCGGACGCGAGGUCUGACCCAUGACCCCGGGGACGCCCAGAGCCCAGUCCUUGGGAAGGGCCAGGCCCCUGGAGAGGAGCUUCUUCAGGGCGCGUCCCAGACUCUGCGUCUCGAGUGAACGCCUACUGUGUGCCUGGCUCUGAGCACGGGACUGUCGCUGCCACGGCAUCUUUAGGAACCUUCCCACUAACCCAGUGGGAAGGCACAAUGGCUGUUACCAGCGAUCGCUCUUCCCUCCCCAGUCAAUGCCAACUCCCCCCUGCCCCGCCUCAGAGACCCCGCUGUCUUUAGAUACAGGCCACCGCCAAGCCCUGGUCUGCCCCAAGAUCAAUUACUGCGCACCCGGUUCCCCUGGGGUCCUUCAGUUAAUCCUCCUCACCCCGAAGUCUGGAACCUGCCUUGCACAUGGAAGCGGUUAGCUACUUCGCUUCAGCAAAAGUUCACUUUCGGACCCAAGUUGGGAAUUACUAAUGUAGACAGUGAUUCCUUAUCAUCACACACGUUUUUUAAAAACUGCGGACAGGCCGAAAGAGGAGGAGCCGCCACAAAGCCCGCCACGUCUUCCUAAAUUGGUUUACCGCCUGAAGGCAUUGGUGCCCCAUCCCGGGUACUUAAAUGGGGGCCUGCCCUCUACUCCCCUCCCUCCAAAGUGUGGAGCCGGAAGCCACUUCUCCAUCCAGCUGUGAACUAAAUUUGGAUAAUAAUACACAUCCCUCAGGGUUGAUGUGAAGUUUAAAGUGCCGCUACUGGGGAUUAUGGAGGUAAUUAGAGACCCCCACCCCCACCCCCCAGUCCUCAGGCUGCGCGGGAAUCGCAGCGGCAGUAACCUCCACCUCACCGGGAUGCUUUACACCUUACUUUAAGAGUUUGCAAAACAAUGUCCAAUACCUGCCAUUCAUGCAUUCGUUAAUUCGAUUAAGUACUGAGAACGUAUUUUGUGUCAUACAUCGAUUUGGGUGCUGGAUAUGAAACAGCCAAGAGAACAGGCAGAAAUCUCUGCCCUCCUGUAGUUUGCAGUCUCGUGGGGGAAAGACAGACAAACGGGAGAAUGUGUCAGAGGGUCUCCAUGGGGUGGAGAAAAAUAAGGCGGAGAAGGGGAAUAGGAAGUGUGAGAUAAGAGUGAGGCUCAAAUACAAGAGAAGGCCUCUAUGAGAAAGUAACAUUUAAAGCCUGAAGAAAUUGAGGGAGCAAGCCGUGUGGAUGUCUGGGGAAGAACUGCGCCGAGCAUGAGGAAUAGCAAGUGCAAAGGCUGGGGUAGGAGUGUGUCCAAAAUAGUCAAGACAGAGCGAGUGUGAGGUUGGAGUAGAAUGGGUGAAGGGGAAAGUAACAGGAGAUGAAGCUGGAAAAAUGAUGAUGCUUAUGAUGCUUCUGGUCCCAAAACAAAGCAUUAUGGUUCUAUGAGGAUCUCCCGAAGAAAAGAUGUCAGGAAAGGUGCAGAGACCCUCCCCCACACACCACAUUGUUGUUCCAUCCUUCUCUGUGCCUUUGGGCAAGGACUCUCCGUUCUGUAGGGACCACCAGGUGGAAUUAAAGUCUACACUCCUCCAAGAGCUGAUCUUGGGGCGGCCCCACCUCCAUGCCCCUCUACAGCGUGCCAUUCUCAUAGAACACACUAGGACCUUUGUCCUCUGGAGCUGUUCAGUGCAGCAGCUCUGACCUCAUCCUUCUCCAGAAGCCUCCACCUUCUCUCCCCUCUCUCCUCCUGCGCUUUGUGUGUCCUGUUCUUCCACUUCGGUGACCUGUCUCCUCCCCUAAUCUGGCUCAGAGAGGGGUACCAGCUGCUGCUGCUGCUAUUGCUUCUUCUUCUGUUAAAGGUUUUUUAUUUUUUUCCAAUGACAAAGCUAUGCUCAUUCUGAAAACAUGAAAAAUAAAAAUGCUCAAAAAAUAAAACUCACUCUACAUUCAUUGCUAGGAGAGAACAGCCUGCUCCCAUUCCAGCCUUUUUAUCUAUAUCCACUUAACAUUAAACAUACAGAGUUUCUACUCUAUUUAGUGAUUGUCACCUGCACUUUAAACUUAAUGGUUCUUUAUGAGCAUUUUACUGGGUAGUUGUUCUACAAUAACAUUACUGGAACUGUUUGGGUUUCCCUUGACCCUCUUAAAAAUUACUGAGAACCCUGAAGAGCUUUUGUUUUAUAGGUUACAUCUAUCAAUAUUUGCUUUAUUAGAAAUAAAAACUGAGAAAAAGUAAAUAUUUAUUAAUUUAUUUUAAAAAUGUUAACAUGGAAAGAAAUUAUAUUACAUAAAUAAUGUAUUUUAGAAAAAUAAUUAUACUUUCCAAACAAAAAUAAUUAGUGGGAAGAGUGGCAUUGUUUUACAGUUUUGCACGGCUCUUGAAUGUCUGGUGUAAUAGAAGAUAGCUGGUUUCAUGCCUCCUCCUGCAUUCAGUCGGUCACUAUAUGUUGUUUUGUUUGAAGUAUGUGAAGAAAAUUCAGCCUUAUGUAGAUAUGUAUAUGGGAAAGAAUAGAGGAUUUUAAUCGCCUUUUCAGAUAAUUACAGAUGUUCUUUUUUCAUACCACACCAAAAUGCAAGGAGUCGUUUCUUAAAGGUUAAGUGCAAUGUAGAACCUGAAAAAAAAAAUCAAUAAACUUUUGAACUCAGUUAAUACAU